GCAUCUAUAGCUCAUUGGCAGAGUCUUGCGACGGUACCACUCGCGUCCCGGGUUCGAUCCCCGGUCGAUGUU